AGAGGCUAUCGUGCUGAUAAUGUGUUAUAAAAGAGAUGAUGUGUAAGCUUAUUAUUACUCAUGACCAGAGGUCUAUAUUUAUACAAGUAUUAGACCAUCUUAUUUAGACCGUCAUAAGAGAAAAGGAAAUCCUAUUCCUAAUAGGAAUAGGAAAUAGUACUUAUCCUAAAUACAUAUGGAAAAGGAUAAACAUCAAGUAUAGAUAAAUGUAAACUCUCAUUCGCCUAAGUUAUUAGCGAAUGGACCGGAUGGAUAGCUGAUGGGUCGGACGGUUUGGGUCUGAUAUGGGUCGAUCACCACUUGGUUUAUAACACAAACGUUAUUUUCUAAGUAAUAAAGGUUUUUCAACAAUAUUUAUUUUCUAAACUAAUAAAAAUGGACCGUAUCAUCCACUAUGUUCAUUACAAUAUAUGGAAAUUAGGCUUUAGUUAUCUUUUCAUGGACCAAGCCCAAAAAGAGUCAAACAGAUUACUCCGGGAAACUCAAGAAGUGAUGUAAAAACCUAACUAAUGAUUUGUUUAAAAAAAAAGAUUUUAGACAAAAAUCAGUAAGUUUCGUGUUUCAUCUUCUCUCCAAAGUGUUUCAGCUUCUCUCCACCGACAGAGCAAACAAAACAAAGGGAGCUAAAAAAAUUGUUUCCGUGUUUAUGAUCGAUUAUCAGAAUUUCUUAAGUCAACCACUUCAACUUCAUCAAGAACCUAACUAUAAUUUGUUCAGAGUCAAAGAUCUGUAUUAAAUUCGCCGGUAUAUACAUAGGGAGUUUUUGUCUUCAUUAUGCAAUGCAUCGAUGUUAUUGGAGGAGGAUACAAUUUCUCAUCGAUUGUACCUCAUAAAACAGGGAUCACUAAUGUUACAAAAAAGAUUUAAGGACUGUCUCCUGACCUCCAUGGAUUUCAUAUUCACUAUUUUGGUGGUAUUUUAAGUGGCUGCAACUCUACUUGUUCGUCUUUAAACUCUCUGUGUUUAUCACUGCUUACCUAUAUAUGAAGAAUUCACU